rnacentral:rRNA from 1 species
GCUGGCGGCACGCCUAACACAUGCAAGUCGAACGAAGUAGCAAUACUUAGUGGCAGACGGGUGAGUAACAUGUAGGUAUCUACCCUUUGGCCUGGAAUAACACGAGGAAACUUGUGCUAAUACCGGAUAAGUCUUUACGGAGAAAGCUUUAUGCACCAUUGGAUGAGCCUGCACUUGAUUAGUUUGUUGGUGGGGUAAUGGCCUACCAAGACUGUGAUCAAUAGCUGAUUUGAGAGGAUGAUCAGCCACAUUGGGACUGAGACACGGCCCAAACUCCUACGGGAGGCAGCAGUGGGGAAUCUUGCACAAUGGAGGAAACUCUGAUGCAGCGAUGCCGCGUGAGUGAAGAAGGCCUUUGGGUUGUAAAGCUCUUUCGUCGGGGAAGAAAAUGACUGUACCCGAAUAAGAAGGUCCGG